CGUCUCGACUCAGGUGGACAUCUGAGUGUUCAGUUGAGAGAAAACGGCUUUCUGAUUGAAGCAGUUUUCCUGCUGUCUCCUUUUCGUCGUUCUUUUCCAUCUGGGCAUGUCCGUCAGUGUGAUGACACCCGCUAAAGCGAGUGUGGCUGUGUGCAUGCGGUGCGUAAGUUUCCACGUGCAGAAGCAGAGACCUCUGUGAGUCGGUGUUUUCGUUCGAAUGCGGUUUUUACUUUUUUCUUCUCCUCUCAUUCGCUUCCUGUCUGCCAUUGGAAACUGUGGGCGUAGUCCCGAAUCGAGUGGAAGUGAAACUUUCUCGGAACACUCUAAAGAAGAACGUCCUAAGAAAACGCACCGCAUUCCUGCGAGCAGGCCGUCUCUCAAGUUCCUUCUUGGACGGAGGGCGAGUUCUCUGCCCCCAGGAAGCGAAGACUGUUGAUGACUGGAACCUUUUAAACCUUAAACAGCCUUUUAAGCAGUUUUUAGACAGAAUUACAUCAAUGUUGUUAACAGUAUUUUGACAGCUUUUAGGCAGGCGUCUGUCGGCGUUUAUGGCAGUAUUCAAUAGAGUGCCUUUUCUUUUUAGUGGCAGCGUUUCAUCGCAAGGGGGAACGCGACCCGAAUAGUUCUUCGAUGUACUGGAUGCCGUCGACACCGUGCUAGCCAACAAGGUUUUGUAGAAGGCCGUCAAGAUCACUCGAGGCACCAGCUUUUUUUGAAAGCUUGAGAAGAGAGUGCAAGGCGUUACGGGCUGCGUAGACGCAAACAUUUUUCCGAAUUCCUGAGCAGCCUUUGUAGCACGGCAGGUUGCAAAGAAGCCUCUAAUCGCAGUCCUGUUUAUCCCCAAGUUACAGUCUCGUUUGUGAAGAGCUCUUCAAAGAAAUGAAUUUCGUCGAGAUCCAGGAGCGAAUCCAUUCCCUGGUGACACAUGACCAGAAUCGUCUUUCUCUGGGGCGUCGUCGUAGAUUCUUGAAGUGCAUUGUGCAGAAAGAGUUGAGAAGCUUUUUCCCAACGUUGUGAGACCCAGAGCUCCAUUCGUACGUUUACUUCGUCCGAGGCACAAACAAGCAAGUCGUGGGCGAAGCCAGCAGGGAGAGAUGCGACGCUCUUUUUAGCGAAGCUGAGGCUGCAGAGCAACGCAAACAUUUGCUCUGAAAAAGAGAGUCAAAAUGCGCAUUUCUGCUGCACAUUCGGGUGGACUUGUCGAGGGGCACAGAGGAGCUGACGGAAACGACGUGGAGGCGAAUUCUGGAUGUGCGGUACAGUGAGGCGAAAGUGACUCGCUGCCGACGGAAAGAACGCCUCGUUCUAAGUUUUCUUGCAGAGAGAAGGCGUCCAGCGCAACGAACAAGUGGAAGAGUUCUUUUCCUGCUUUCGCUCUGACUCAAAUUCCCGGUCACCGUGGCGUCUCCAGUCUUCUGGAGAGACCGGAAACCUCAGGACUGAGAGAACGAAGAAGACCUCUGUUUCUACUCAAGUAAAUGCGACGCCGGCGUUUUUCUCGUCGUGAAUGGAGUGUGCAUUUCUGCUCCUAGACACGGUGUGAUUUCAUCCUGGGGACAAGCAACUUCACUGUCCUGACGUGCGAAGUCCCUGGACAUGGGCGAAUUCAACAGAGAAAGCCAAAGGAUUCGCACAUAUGAAUAUAUCUAUCUAUCUAUAUAUAUAUAUAUAUAUAUAUAUAUGUAUAUGUAGGUGUAGGUGUUUACCACAAAUUUGUAUACACGAGUGUCCACGCGUUCAACUUUGAUUUUU
rnacentral:lncRNA from 1 species